AAAACGGGUGCCCACAGUGAUGCGCUGCCGCGGCAAUAGUUGGUUGACAAGGCCUCCGGCCGCGUUCCGUCGUGUUGUCCGGGCAAAUCACUGCUCUGGGCUCGCUCGGCCCUGUCCUUCUAAUGUUGCGACCCCAGGUCAGGCGGGACUACCCGCUGAGUUUAAGCAUAUCAAUAAGCCGGAGGA
rnacentral:rRNA from 1 species